UGGGGAAUCUUGCACAAUGGAGGAAACUCUGAUGCAGCGACGCCGCGUGAGCGAAGAAGCCUUUCGGGGUGUAAAGCUCUUACGCCAGGGACGAUAAUGACGGUACCUGGAGAAGCAGCUGCGGCUAACUACGUGCCAGCAGCCGCGGUAAUACGUAGGCAGCAAGCGUUGUUCGGAAUUACUGGGCGUAAAGGGUGCGUAGGCGGCGCUCUAAGUUUGGUGUGAAAUCUCCCGGCUUAACUGGGAGGGUGCACUGAAAACUGGGGCGCCCGAGUAUGGGAGAGGAAAGCAGAAUUCCUGGUGUAGCGGUGAAAUGCGUAGCGAUCAGGAGGAACACCUGCGGUGCAGACGGCUUUCUGGACCAUCACUGACGCUGAGGUACGAAAGCGUGGGU
rnacentral:rRNA from 1 species